rnacentral:lncRNA from 1 species
AUGUGGCUUGUGGAGCAAUUCUAUUAUAAAGUUGGCAAGCUCAAAGAGACGACACUUAAUAUCUUGCUUAUAUGGGAAUCUAUGGAAGCUGAUAUGGAAGACAAGAUUCUUCGAAACAGCAUCAAGAUCAGAGCUCAAGUGACAGCAAGCUGGAAACAGGCUGUAAUGAGCUGAAGAGAAGGAACACAAAGGUAAAAGUGACAAGAAAAUAUGCCUGUGCUAGACUAAUGAUAUACAUGCUAAGAUGCAUUUAAGUCAUUGUUCUCUUUAUUUGAAAACUGUAGACUCACAAAAGAACACCUCCAACUAGUUCAGGGAGAGGUAUGCAUCAACACAUAGCUGUGGCUGUCUGUUUUGCUGUUGAUUCAAUGCGUUGACCCGCUCUGAAGUCAUGCAUCUACAAAUCUUACAAAUACAUCAUUAUAAAUGAUUGCUGUACCCA